AUGCAGGUGCUGCACUUCCUCCUCUGCCUGCUGGCAGCUCCUCUAGGUGUCCUGUCUGAUGUGACCCUGAAGGAGUCAGGCCCAGGACUGGUGGCACCCUCGCAGACCCUCUCCCUCACCUGCACAGUCGCUGAGAGCCCUGUCACCAGCAGUAACUACUGGAAUUGGAUCCGCCAGCGCCCAGAGAAAGGGUUGGAGUGGAUGGGGUACUGGACAGGGAGCACAAGCUACAACCCAGCUUUCCAGGGCCGCCUCUCCAUCACUGCUGACACAUCCAAGAACCAGUUCUUCCUGCAGCUGACAUCUGUGACCUCCGAGGACACGGCCACGUAUUACUGUGCAAAACACAGUGAGGGGAAGUCGGUGAGAUUGUGCCACUGUGAUUACUAUGGUAUGGACGUGUGGGGACCUGGAACCCAGGUCACCAUCAGCUCAGAGAGCUUGUCCCCUCCAAAUCUCUUCCCCCUGGUGUCCUGUGAGAGCCCCCUGUCCGAUGAGAGCCUGGUGGCCAUGGGCUGCCUGGCCCAGGACUUCCUGCCCAGCACCAUCACCUUCUCCUGGAACUACAAGAACAGCAGUGACGUGAGCACCCGAGACAUCAAGACCUUCCCCUCGGUCCUGCGGGGCGGCAAGUACAUGGCCACCUCCCAGGUGCUCCUGGCCUCCGUGGACGUGCUCCAGGGCUCCGAUGACUUCCUCACGUGCCGAGUCCAGCACGCCAACGGCAACAAGGUCGUGAAAGUGCCCCUGUCAGCGCCUGCAGAGCUGACCCCCAGUGUGGACGUCUUCAUCCCGCCCCGGGACGCCUUCUCCAGCAACAGCCAGCGCACGUCCAGGCUCAUCUGCCAGGCCACAGGCUUCAGCCCCAGGCACAUCUCCGUGUCCUGGCUGCAAGACGGGAAGCGGCUAGAGUCUGGCUUCACCACAGACAACGUGGAAGCCGAGACUAAGGGGUCGGGGCCCGUGACCUUCAAGGUCACCAGCACACUGACCAUCACCGAGACUGCCUGGCUCAGUCAGAGCACAUUCACCUGCCACGUGGAGCACAGUGGGCUCACCUUCCAGAAGAACGUGUCCUCCUUGUGUGGCAGCGGUACAAACACUGGCAUCCAGGUCUUCGCCAUUCCCCCUUCCUUCGCCAGCAUCUUCCUCACCAAGUCGGCCAAGCUGUCCUGCCUGGUCACAAACCUGGCCACCUAUGACAGUCUGGCCAUCUCCUGGACCGGCCAGGACGGCAAGCCCCUGAAAACCCACACCAACAUUUCCGAGAGCCACCCCAACACCACCUUUAGCGCCACGGGCGAGGCCACCGUCUGCGUGGAGGACUGGGAGUCGGGCGACGAAUUCACGUGCACAGUGACGCACACGGACCUGCCCUCGCCGAGGAAGCAGACCAUCUCCAGGCCCAAGGAGGUCGCCAAGCACACGCCCUCCGUCUACGUGCUCCCGCCCACCCAGGAGCAGCUGAAACUGCGGGAGUCGGCCUCCGUCACCUGCCUGGUGACAGGCUUCUCCCCACCAGACGUGUUUGUGCAGUGGCUGCAGAAAGGGCAGCCCGUCCCCUCCCACAAGUAUGUGACCAGCGCCCCAACACCCGAGCCCCAGGCCCCGGGCCUCUACUUCGCGCACAGCAUCCUGACAGUGAGUGAGGAGGACUGGAGUGCCGGGGAGACCUACACCUGCGUCGUGGGCCACGAGGCGCUGCCCCACACGGUGACCGAGAGGACCGUGGACAAGACCACCGAGGGCGAGGUGAGCGCCGAGGAGGAGGGCUUCGAGAACCUGAGCACCAUGGCGUCCACCUUCAUCGUCCUGUUCCUCCUCAGCCUGUUCUAUAGCACCACCGUCACCCUGUUCAAGGUGAAAUGACCCACCAUGGAAGAAUCCCGGAGGCCAGAGAGGCGGAACCACGCAGGGCGCCUGUGGGCCUGGGAUCCCCAGCCCCUGUGGCCGGUCGGCUUGUACGUAAACUUUCCCCACGUCACCCUUCAUGGGGCACUCUAAGAAACAGCUUCUUUCCAAGGCCCGAUGCUGUGGGUGGUGGGGACCCUGCAGCCCCGGGCUCUGCUCCCGCAGAUGCACACACUUUGCAACGUACUCACGUGUCCCCUUGAAA